UACGGGGGGGGGCAAGCGUUUGUUCGGAAUUACUGGGCGUAAAGGGCUCGUAGGCGGCCAACUAAGUCGGAUGUGAAAUCCCCAGGCUUAACCUGGGAACUGCAUCCGAUACUGGAUGGCUUGAAUCCGGGAGAGGGAUGCAGAAUUCCAGGUGUAGCGGUGAAAUGCGUAGAUAUCUGGAGGAAUACCGGUGGCGAAGGCGGCAUCCUGGACCGGCAUUGACGCUGAUGAGCGAAAGCUAGGGGAGCAAACAGG
rnacentral:rRNA from 1 species